UCCCCGGUGGUCUAGCGGUUAGGGCUCAGCACUUUCACCGCUGUGGCCCAGGUUCAGUCCCUGGUCUGCGAA
rfam:Sus scrofa breed Duroc isolate TJ Tabasco Contig1914_1, whole genome shotgun sequence.